rnacentral:rRNA from 1 species
UACAGAGGUCCCGAGCGUUUGUUCGGAUUCACUGGGCGUAAAGGGUGCGUAGGUGGCUUGAAAAGUUUGAUGUGAAAGCUCAGGGCUUAACCCUGAAAUGGCAUUGAAUACUGUCGGGCUGGAGGUUUGGAGGGGGACUGGAAUUCUUGGUGUAGCAGUGAAAUGCGUAGAUAUCAAGAGGAACACCAGUGGCGAAGGCGAGUCCCUGGACAACACCUGACACUGAGGCACGAAAGCUAGGGGAGCAAACAGG